rnacentral:rRNA from 1 species
CGGGUUGCUUGAGAGUGCAGCUCUAAGUGGGUGGUAAACUCCAUCUAAGGCUAAAUAUGACCACGAGACCGAUAGCGAACAAGUACCGUGAGGGAAAGUUGAAAAGACCUUUGAAGAGAGAGUUCAAGAGUACGUGAAACCGUUCAGGGGUAAACCUGAGAAACCCGAAAGAUCGAAUGGGGAGAUUCAUCGUCAGCGGAGUUGGCUUCCGUGCGGAUCGCGAUGUUUGGCGUGGUGGCAGACGAUGAUCUCGAACUGGCUCGCAGCAUUAAUUUUACAUGUGAUACCGGUCGGCGACGCCCCGUCUUGAAACACGGACCAAGGAGUCUAACAUGUGCGCGAGUCAUUGGGACUGAAAAGCCUAAAGGCGCAUUGAAAGAGAAGGUCGACCUUGCGUCGACUGAGGGAGGAUGAGCCGCGUCACGAUGCGGCUUCGCACUCCCGGGGCGUCUCGUACUCAUUGCGAGUUGAGGCGCACCCAGAGCGUACACGUUGGGACCCGAAAGAUGGUGAACUAUGCCUGGUCAGGACGAAGUCAGGGGAAACCCUGAUGGAGGUCCGUAGCGAUUCUGACGUGCAAAUCGAUCGUCGGAACUGGGUAUAGGGGCGAAAGACUAAUCGAACCAUCUAGUAGCUGGUUCCCUCCGAAG